CCUGAUGACCAUAGCAAGGUGGUCCCACUCCUUCCCAUCCCGAACAGGACAGUGAAACGCCUUAGCGCCGAUGAUAGUGCGGGUUCCCGUGUGAAAGUAGGACAUUGUCAGGC
rnacentral:rRNA from 1 species